rnacentral:lncRNA from 1 species
GGCUGACAAUAUCUGUGGUCUCUGUGAUACAACUGACUCUUUUCUAAUUACCAGAAUGGAAGAGAUUAUUUAUAUAUUCCUUGGGGGAAGAGGGUUAAAUUAGUUAGAGAUGCCCUUUGGAAGACAGUAUUCACAGAAACUAGGAAUGAAACAGUUUGUUCUCUUUAGCCUUUUCUCUUCCAAAUUGUUCUCCUCAUCCUUGAACUCAUAGGUAUGGAAUGCUGGGACCUGGACAAAAAUGACUAGUAAAGAUGACAAAGAUCAUAGGGAAGAUACCACAGAAUUUAAUGACAGUAGGAUUGAGUAUGAGAGGCAGAGGUAAUUAAAUGCUGCUCAAGGAGCUCAGGAGGAAGAUAGAAGAGAAAGCUCACUUUCCAGGACUGCCCUCUCACCUGGGAUGACUCACAAUAAUCCCUCUCUAAGGGCCUCUCUACUCCCCCAGGUCAACAUACUGAAGCCUCAUGCUCUUAUCCUUGCCUUUGGGUAUCUCUCAGCUCCCAUUUGAUUACCCAUUGCCCUGCUUUCUUUUGACUCUUUUGAAUCUGAGUAUUAUUUCAUUAAAUGAGAUUUAUAACCUGA